rnacentral:rRNA from 1 species
UUGUACAGGGGGAUAACAGUUGGAAACGGCUGCUAAUACCGCAUAAGAUCGCAUGAUAAAAACUCCGGUGGUAUAAGAUGGACCCGCGUUGGAUUAGCUAGUUGGUGAGGUAACGGCCCACCAAGGCGACGAUCCAUAGCCGACCUGAGAGGGUGACCGGCCACAUUGGGACUGAGACACGGCCCAGACUCCUACGGGAGGCAGCAGUGGGGAAUAUUGCACAAUGGGCGAAAGCCUGAUGCAGCGACGCCGCGUGAGCGAGGAAGUAUUUCGGUAUGUAAAGCUCUAUCAGCAGGGAAGAUAAUGACGGUACCUGACUAAGAAGCACCGGCUAAAUACGUGCCAGCAGCCGCGGUAAUACGUAUGGUGCAAGCGUUAUCCGGAUUUACUGGGUGUAAAGGGAGCGCAGGCGGUGCGGCAAGUCUGAUGUGAAAGCCCGGGGCUCAACCCCGGUACUGCAUUGGAAACUGUCGUACUAGAGUGUCGGAGGGGUAAGCGGA